AGCAGCGUCGUGUAGUAGCACGUGGGGUAGAGCACUGGAUGGGCUAGGGUCAUACCAGAUUACUGAACCCAACCAAACUCCGAAUACCAUGUGUGUAAUCACGGCAGUGAGCCUGCGGGGGAUAAACUCCGUAGACAAAGGAAAACAACCCAGACCGACAGCUAAGGUCCCAAAUCUAUGCUCAGUGGGAAACGAGGUGCAAUCGCUUAAACAACCAGGAUGUUGGCUUAGAAGCAGCCAUUCAUUUAAAGAGUGCGUAAUAGCUCACUGGUCGAGUGAUUGUGCGCGGAAAAUGUAACGGGGCUAAGCAUAGAACCGAAGCUUCGGGCUGUGCCUUACGGCACAGCGGUAGGAGAGCAUUCCAUCGGCGUUGAAGCAUGAGCGGAAGCACAUGUGGAGCUUAUGGAAACGAUCAUGCCGGCUA
rnacentral:rRNA from 1 species